UACAGAGGUCCCGAGCGUUGUUCGGAUUCAUUGGGCGUAAAGGGUGCGUAGGCGGUUUGCUAAGUUUGAUGUGAAAGCCCGGGGCUUAACCCUGGAAUGGCAUUGAAUACUGGCGAACUAGAGUACUGGAGAGGAAACUGGAAUUUACGGUGUAGCAGUGAAAUGCGUAGAGAUCGGGAGGAACACCAGUGGCGAAGGCGGCCUUCUGGACCAAUACUGACGCUCAUGCACGAAAGCGUGGGGAGCAAACAGG
rnacentral:rRNA from 1 species